CAGUGAUCCAAUUCCCCAGCGUAGGCACCAGAGGUGGACCUUGGAUGAUUAGAGGAAACACUUCAACGUCUGUGGCUAGUGUCGCUUACCAGUUAGUAGUUAGGGGUAAUCUUGGCUGGAGCUAAAAAAAAAAGGCUGAGAUUAAUCUCCUAGAGGAGUCAACGAGGUGUCUUGGUUGAGUUCGUGGACUAAUCUUCUAGCUUUGGAAUUCGUUUGGGGGUGGCGAUGUCGCACUCAACCUCGGCCGGUACCGGUACUGUAGGGGCUCGUCGUCUCGCGAGCUUGCCAUGUUCUCGCGGCAUUGCUGCCGUUGAAGGCACGACCCGCGCCGGUACGACGACGCGGCCCACGAGCGGCUGCAGGAGGGUCCGUGCCGGGAGCCGCGCGACGAGGAGGACGGCGGUCGGAGGCGGGCCGCGGUGCGGCACGAGUAGCUCCUCAAGCUGCCGCGGGACAUGUUGGCGCAGAAGAACCGCCGGUUCCGCAUGCAAAGGUGCGACGAGCGGCGCCGUGGCAGGCACGGCGACUACUUCCGGUCGGACGGAGCGCCCCGGCUACGCCUCGUGCAGGACGAGCGGGACGCGGGGCCGUGCCGCCAGCAGCUGCACAAGCUGCCCCGUUUCCAGUGCACCGCGGACUCGUCCUUCGUGCUGCCCCCGCGGCCGUCCGCCGCCUGGUGCCUCCUGCGCGCGCUCCACAAGUUCGAGUCGAAGCUGCGCCUCGUGUUCCUGUACCACGAGCCGAGGAUGGACGGCCGGCAGUACCGGGCGCACCUCCGGUACAGGGUCCUCGUCUCCGUCUGGUUCGACAUGUCGUUGCUCACCCCGUUCACCGCCUGGCACUCCGAGGCGUUGCGGAGCUGCAAGCGCUGCCACCGGUACCUGCGGCGCGACGCCGUCCGGCACCACCUGCUGGACCUGUCCAAGAACUGGGCCUUCCUCAUGAUGGCCGUCUGCCCCUCCCGCACCUUCUCCCCGAUGGACUAGGUGCCGGGCGGGCCGUGGCCGUUCAGGUCAGACCAGCGGCGCUAGAGGUUGGUGGAGGUAAAGCUGCACAUACUAGAGCUGCAGCCGUCGCAGUCCAGGUUGUGGCUCGAAUCCUUUGACGACUAAGCCUACUUCUUGUCCAGGUAUGACAACCAGCUUCUACAGCUAACGCGGCACCGCUGCCGUGGUGCCUCCCUUCGCUGCCCUUCGAGGCUGCCCCCGUCGGGACGAAGGUUCUUAGUGUUCCAGUGAGACAGGCCCGACGAGUUGUACCACCUGCCGGAGACCAGGUCGUCGCCGGUACUCGCCUAGGAGUAGAAGUGGUGGUUGGUGUCCCUGGCCGAGCUGGGCCGCGACGAGGCCGGACCGGCCUACCUGUACGUGCAGGUGUACCCGAUGACACCGAAGCAGCGGAAGUCCCUCGAGCGCCGGUUGAUGGUGCCGUAGGUCCUGGUGGGCGAGAAGGGCCUCUAGCUCCGCGACGACGCCCUCCACCUCCACCGUGGCCGCCUCCAGCGGCUCUCCGACGAAUACUGGCUGCUACGGCUACGGCGACAGCUCUACCGGCGCUUCGACGACUCUCCGUCCUUCCGCCCCUGGCCCCUUCUACCGCCCAUGUAGUUCGUCUUUGACGUGCAUCCCGGAUCCGCGGGCGCAGCCGGGGGCCGACGUUCUGCCCGCCACGAACUGCUCCCUUAACCACCCAGGAGUGCUGCUCCGGUCCCCGCACCUCGUCCCUGUCCCGCUGCACCGCCUCCACUCCACGCGCCUGCUCCUGCCGCUAUCUGUUAGCAUGAGGGAGACAAGUUCACGUGUCCCCAGAUUUAUUUUUAAAUCAUAGGUUUAUAUAUAUCAUUUAGUGAUACGUACUUUCUUUGAAUAGUAAGAAGCGGUGGUAAUUAAACUCGCCUUAAACAACAUCAAAAUAAUCUUACAAGUACCGGCCGAGUAUCCCCGUCCCACACGUACACACGCAAAAUAUCCCCACUCACAUACACGCAUAUAUACUCGCACAGUUGCGAGGACUGUUCGUCCUGGGCGUCCCGUCGCUGAUGCGGUCGGUUGCGCGACGGGCCGCCGGGGGAGCUCAGUCCGCUGGGUCGGGUGCAUGGUCGCCCCGCCUCACCUGCGCAACUUCGGGUGGUGUGGUGAUGUUCAUUGCCUGCUGGUCCUCCUCUGCUCGUAGGUCACCUAGUCCUUGCUGGGCCGCCGCCGAUGGAUGGAAGGAAGGGGCUUGGGAUCAAGUAGGGACAAGAAGGUAAGCUCGUAGCGAGGACAUUAGCUAACAUUAUCGAUGAUGAAGUCUCUCGAAUUAUCUAGCUAGGGAGGUGGAACUAGGAAAGUAGACCAUAGUCUCUGGUUUAGGAUGGAGGGAGAAGCUAGGCGAGACCGAGUGGAGUAGCUCUGCUCUCCGGACGCUGUUCGUGCGCUCCGGUACCUAGGCUCACAGAGCCGGAAGGAGUGGGCGAAGCUCUGGUUCUAGCUUCGGCGGUAGCCGCAGGACUGGUUCCGUGUAGUCAGAUGCCGCUGUUUCUAGUUGCUGGACGAGCGAACCGCGGGGCUAGAGCUCGCGGCCCACCGCCUAGAUCCGCUGCGGCAGUGUCGAGACGUUGUUCGUGUCCACGGGGGUAGUCGGGCUGGGCUACGCCUAGGCCACGGACUCCCGCGGCUGCGCCACGAGGUAGGUGCUCCCGGGC
rnacentral:rRNA from 1 species